GUUUUUUAAAUGCAGGUGUUUAUUAUUAAGGGGGGGAAUAAUCCAAACCUACCUGGCCCUGUGUGAAAAAGGGCGAUCUUGAUGAUCCCCAAGACUCUGUGAGCUGAUGAGACAAAAACUGAAGGUGUCUGUCCCAUUACAUCUGACAUAAAACUAACACAGCGCUUCAGAUAAGGAACAUCAUACCAACAAUAAAAUAUGAUAAAAGUGUUUUUCACACCAGUGCAUGUUUGUUUAGCAUGAAAUGUCAUGUUGCCUUUCAUAAUGUUUGAUUAAAGAUAACAGCAUCAUUAUAGACUUCCCUGAUUUCUAUUGUGCUCAUCAAGCCACUCACUCAGGUUCACAGAAAGACAAUGAAAGAGAGUCUUCAGGUACGCAAUUAAAUGUCAGCAUCACUUCUUAAUUUAAACAAUAAAAUUGUGUAUACUUGGAAGGUUACACACAAUAAACAGGGAACGGGGAUGUAUAUGGCAAUGGUAAAAAAUAUGUUUGUUCAGAUGUGGCUCAUCAUCACUGGGUGUUUGUUUGUUUGUUUGUUUGUUUGUUUGUUUGUUUGUUUGUUUGUUUGUUUGUUUGUUUGUUUGUUUGUUUGUUUGUUUGUUUGUUUGUUUGUUUGUUUGUUUGUUUGUUUGGUUGGUUGUUUGUUUGUUUGGUUGGUUGGUUGGUUGGUUGGUGGGUGUUUUGUAUUGUUUUGUUUCAUUUUUGUUUGUUUUUUUAUCGUGGCUUUUGGCCCCAAUUUCAAAACUGUCCCAACUUUUUUAGACAAGUUACUUUCAUCAAAUUCAAAAUGAGCUAAUAUUUUUCAUGAAACAAUAAAAUGUAGCAUUUGAAAACCAAUUUUUGUUCUCUGGGUUUCAAAUCAGAAUGAAUUCAGAGUACUUUAAUUUGUUGUUUUUACUCAGGUUUUCUCAUUUUAUGUAUUCCUUUCUUCAACUCUGGCAUUUUAUCCUAUUUUUGUUAAUUGAUUAUUUUAGAAAUACAGCACUUGGCUUCACUAGCAUGUCUCUAUGUUCUACUGUGAAUGAAAUAUGGGUUUGUCAGAUUUGCAAAUCAUUGCAGUCUAUUGUUAUUUGCAUUUUACACUGUCUCCUGACUAUCUUAGCAUUGAAUUUGUAAAAUCAAACAAAAAUAAAAUACACUGCCUUCUCAGUUAAUUGCCCAUAAUGUAACAAAUCUAUAUGUUACAAAGCAUCUUUUUCAUGUGAGAUCACUUUUUUAUCUAUUUAUUUUUUGACUGUAUGCCAUGCUGUAUGUGGAUUAAAGACUUCCUGUCUGAUCACUCCCAGUGGGUGAGAGUAAGCUGCUAGAUCUCCUCAGUCCUCAGUCUCAGCACUGGCUCCCCACAGAGCUGUGUGCUGAGCCCCCUACUCUUCACCCUCUACACCCACAACUGCACCACCACUCACUCCAGCAACAACGUCAUCUAAUUUGCCAAUAACACCACCAUAGUGGGGCUCACCUUAGGGGGCGAUGAGUCUGCUUAUCAGGAUGAGGUGGAGCAG
ensembl:lncRNA